rnacentral:rRNA from 1 species
CCUACGGGUGGCAGCAGUGAGGAAUAUUGGUCAAUGGACGAGAGUCUGAACCAGCCAAGUAGCGUGAAGGAUGACUGCCCUAUGGGUUGUAAACUUCUUUUAUAUGGGAAUAAAACGUUCCACGUGUGGGAUUUUGUAUGUACCAUAUGAAUAAGGAUCGGCUAACUCCGUGCCAGCAGCCGCGGUAAUACGGAGGAUCCGAGCGUUAUCCGGUUUUAUUGGGUUUAAAGGGAGCGUAGGUGGAUUGUUAAGUCAGUUGUGAAAGUUUGCGGCUCAACCGUAAAAUUGCAGUUGAAACUGGCAGUCUUGAGUACAGUAGAGGUUGGCGGAAUUCGUGGUGUAGCGGUGAAAUGCUUAGAUAUCACGAAGAACUCCGAUUGCGAAGGCAGUUCACUGGACUGCAACUGACACUGAGGCUCGAAAGUGUGGGUAUCAAACAGGAUUAGAUACCCCAGUAGUC